GAUGAAGAACGCAGCGAAAUGCGAUAAGUAAUGUGAAUUGCAGAAUUCAGUGAAUCAUCGAAUCUUUGAACGCACAUUGCGCCCCCUGGUAUUCCGGGGGGCAUGCCUGUCCGAGCGUCAUUGCUGCCCUCAAGCACGGCUUGUGUGUUGGGCCUCCGUCCUCCUCCCGGGGGACGGGCCCGAAAGGCAGCGGCGGCACCGCGUCCGGUCCUCGAGCGUAUGGGGCUUCGUCACCCGCUCUUGUAGGCCCGGCCGGCGCUUGCCGACACAUCAAUCUUUUUUCCAGGUUGACCUCGGAUCAGGUAGGGAUACCCGCUGAACUUAAGCAUAUCAAAAGCGGAGGA
rnacentral:misc_RNA from 1 species